rnacentral:tRNA from 1 species
GCCUGUCUAACUCAGUUGGUAGAGGGCAAAGCUCUUAGCUUUGUGGUCGUGAGUACGAGCCCCACGGUUGGCG